GUGUCAGCAGCCGCGGUAAUACGUAGGUCACAAACGUUGUCCGGAAUUAUUGGGCGUAAAGGGUCCGUAGGCGGUUCGGUAAGUCUCUUGUGAAAUCUUCAGGCUCAACUUGAAGAGGUCGGGGGAUACUGCCGAACUUGAGACUGUCAGAGGCAAGUGGAAUUCCCGGUGUAGUGGUGAAAUGCGUAGAUAUCGGGAGGAACACCAGUGGCGAAAGCGGCUUGCUGGGACAGUUCUGACGCUGAGGGACGAAAGCGUGGGUAGCAAACCGGAUUAGAUACCCGGGUAGUCCACGCUGUAAACGAUGAAUACUAGGUUUUCGGGGUAUCGACCCCCUGUGAGCCGUAGCUAACGCGAUAAGUAUUCCGCCUGGGGACUACGGUCGCAAGACUAAAACUUAAAGGAAUUGACGGGG
rnacentral:rRNA from 1 species